rnacentral:lncRNA from 1 species
AAACUCUCGAAAUGGUGUACAAGCAAGCUCCUAGGGAGCUUCUCCAUCUUUUGUCACCUCUGAAUCCGCAGCCAUCUCAGCUUAGAUAUCUCCAGUACAUCUCCAGAAAGAAUUUUGGCUCGGAAUGGCUGCCAUCCGAUACACCUUUUUCUUUAGAUUGCAUCAUACUUAGAUUCCCUCCUCUAUUUGAUGGUGGGAGAGGCUGCCGACCAGUAGUUCGCCUUUAUGGACAGGACCCUGCUUCAACAACCUCUAAUAGGAGCUCUAAGCUACUCUUUUCAACUUCAAAGACAAAAAAACAUGCUCGCUUCUACCGACAGGUAAUCCCCAGCUUUAAAAUGGUGGGACUUUUUAUGAAGAAGUUAGCUGAAAUCUGAAGUUGUCUGCUAACUCCUCACUGCAGGAAGAGUGUUCACUGGUGAAAAUAGACAUCCGUUGUCGUGUCCAAGGAGAUGUUGUUCUCGAGUGUGUCCAUUUGGAAGAUGACCUAGUAAGGGAAGAAAUGAUGUUCAGGGUCAUGUUCCACACCACAUUUAUUCGCUCAAAUGUUUUGAUGUUAAUGCGUGAUGAAGUUGAUGUCCUGUGGGAUGCGAAAGACCAAUUUCCUAGAGGGUUCAAAGCAGAGGUCUGGUAUUUUUUUCUGACUUUGGAUCUUAUUUCCCCUCUUUAAUGUUUACCAUGAAAUUUUCAGAGUUGAAGCAUACUCAUAUAUAUACCAGGUGCUCUUUUCGGAUCCUGACGCUGUUCCAUCCACUGAAGAAGUGCCAAGUGAGGAUGAGAAUGGGACUGAAGGUGCUUCACCUGAGGAGUUUUUUGAAGUCGAAGAGAUAUUCAGCAAUGCUGUUGAUGGACAGGAUGGGAGGGGGGAAUCUGGAGCCCACAUUGUUAAGGAAAGUUUGGAGGAUGAUGAUAGUAUUGAAAUAAUCUGGAAAGAGGAGGUGGAACAUCAUGCAUUUCAAGAUUGUGCAUCAGAUGAAGUAAAUCACAAGCAAGAAGGAAAGUCUGCCUCAGAAACCAACAUUGUAGGAGGUAGAGACAAUUCUAUAGCCUCCAAGGCUGUAGUUUCCAAUGUUUCUAGCAAGAUGGAACCAGAACCGCUAAUGUCUGGAGAUUUUGUCCCAUCAGAGGAUGGGGAGCUAAAGCAAGAUAAGGAAGACACUCUGAAACAGAAGAAGUUGGAGAGGGAAGGUGUACAACAGAAGAUGAGUGCUGAUAUUAAUAAACAAAAAAGUGAUAAGACAGUCUCAUCUCUAAAGAAACAAUCAUUGUGCAACUCAAAAGCUUCUGCUGAUGGCGUUGGUCCAAAAAAUAAAUCGAAACAGCAGGAAUCCCAGGGUACUGUUUUACGACAGGCAAAGCCAAAUGCAGUGUCCCGGUGGAUCCCACCUAACAAAGGUUCUUACACUAAUUCAAUGCAUGUAGCAUAUCCACCAUCAAGGUAUAACAGUGCUCCUCCUGUGCUUGCUCUCGCCAAGGAUUCUCAAUCUGGGGUUAAAUCAAAGUCACCAUCUCCUCGAGCUUCUUCAGAAGCUAUAGUUUCUGCUGAAGCAGGUUGUGUUCCAGGUAAAGACUCCUCAUGUCCUGCUACAGUCUCUGCUCCUGAAUUAGCUGACAGGCAGGCCCUGCAGCUUCAUCCAUCUUCUCGAUCGCUGAGCACUUCAUCUCAUGAAACGCCUCAUGCUGAAGUAGCAGGAACUAAUUCAUCAUCAGCUUCUGCAACUCCACUUUUGUCUAGGCAGGAAAGCAAUAUUUUGACAGCUUCUUUUACUCAGCCAGCCUCCAAUUCUCCACCAGCUCCGACCGUGCCUCCCCCGCCACCUCUGAGCACGCUAUCUCUGUCUCUUUCAAGUAAUAUCCAGUCUUUUUCACCUCCCCCUCCACCUCCCCCACCCCCUCCACCUCCGCCAUCAACUAGCUUGAGGAUGACUUCGAUGGGUGCCUUUUCUCCUAUCCCACCACCACCUCCACCUCCACCUCCACCCACAUCAUCCAGUGUAUUAAAUGUUGGUAGGGUCUUCUUGCCACCCCCACCACCACCCCUUUGGUCAAGUGGAGGGUAUGGAACUUCCUCAGAAGUAGUAUCUAGUUCAUUCCCUCCUCCACCUCCUCCACCUCCUCCACCUCCACCUAUAUAUGCAUCUACUGUACCAAGAUUGGCUACUUUUGGGGUUUCCACACCAUCACCACCACCUCCUCCCCCUCCACCUCCACCUCCUAUGUGUGCUGCCUAUUCUCCUCCUCCGCCUCC